AAUAAAAUUAAAACUUCACAUAUAAAUAGAUCAUAAUACUCGAGUCACAAUAACUACAAAAUUUUUUAUUGUAUCUUGAUCUCCCAAGGACCAUAGCACUUACAAAAUUUAUUAACUAACAUAAGAGAACUAAAAGAAUAACAAUGAACUAGAAGGAAUAAAGUAUGACAUGUUAGAUCCACUUCAUCAUCAUUUUCUUCAAGAAAAUUAAGGUUGGGCAUAUAAACUUCAUGCUGCAAGAUAAACACCAAAAUUCAAUUUCAAUCUCCCACAAGCUGCCUGAUAAAUUGAAAAUAAAAGUUAAUAUUAAAGUUGGCACAACUUCAAUGUUCAUAUAUUCGUUAUGUUUGUACCUUCAACUCAUCUCUGCGAACAAAAUGCUGCUGAUCACCCCUUAUCCUGUAAAAGCAAACACUAAAAAAUUCUCGAUUUAGGCUAAAAUGUAAAAUACCAUGUGUGGCUCUGAAAUAUUCACAAACAGCACCCCUUUUAGUUUAGUAAAAAUGCAAGCACUGGUCAUGAUUUUUCAGUUUUGUAAUACUGGUACAGAUAAAUAAGAAAUUGCAGCACAUUCUUUUAUGUGGUAAAAGACUAAUAUAACAAAAGAGAGUUCAAUUUCCAAAAACUAUAAAAUGGCUAAACAAGUAUGCACUCAAAAGACUCAACCGUCUCCAUAAGUAAUGUUCUUGUACCCAAUGACAAAUAAUAUUUGUAUAUGCACAAAACUUACAGGUAUACAGGAAAUUCCAUAUCUUACUACUGGUGUAGUUCUAGGGCCAUCAGUUAACAUCUGGGGCACUAUAGGCAAUGGUUCGAAAGGGCUAGCAACAGGUGAUUGCUUGAUAACAUCCGUGGUCUGAUAGGGAAACCUGAAAAAGGUAUGAUCAUACAUGAAGUACUUAUAACAUUACUAAUAAAUAAUUCAUAUCAUUCUAGGAAAUGACUAUUGCAAGAGAGAUUUUGUUUUCCUACAACAGCAAAAAGAUCCUAUACGAAAGUUCGUUACGUGCUAUGGCACAAAAUAAGUACAUAGCAUAUAACAGAAGCUCAACUAGAUAUUGCAGGCGCAGAUAUAUGUUACUUUUUUGUUUUCCUGCAACAGCGCAAAGAUCCUACGUUAAACUUCAUUACGUCCUACGACACAAAAUAAACGCCACUACUGUACAUAGCAUUUAACAGAAGCUCAUCAAGAUAUUGCAGGUAGAUAUUUCAGUAAUUGAUGAUCUCCAUAUCGGAGAAAGCUAUAUGUAUAAUGAUAGUGAAACAUGAUGCACUCUUUAAGUUUUCAUAUAAUAUCCAAAUAUCACCAGCAGUAAAUAUAUUGACUCAUCUGAAAGAACUAGGGUGCCUGUCCAAACCAAGAACUGAAUGAAAAUUGCAAUAUAUCUCUUAUAGUCAAAUUGUUCAUACUAAAUUCUGAUCACUAGCACAAACAGUUAUUUAAUUCAGGGGAAGGAGUAUAAGAAGUCAGAGAUGAAGCAUACUGCUGAGCUGAGGUACUUUGUCCACCAACUUCUAUAACGCCAUCAAUGUCAUUUGCACCUUUCAGAUGGGCAAAAAUGAAAGUUAAAUAUCAGACGAUGAAAUCCAAAGUAUUGAAUCAUUAACAGAAAUAGUAUGACUUUAAAGGUUAUCUAUGUUGAACUACUAGAGAACGCACCUCCUGUUUGACUAGUUUGUGCUUGCUGAAAAAGGAGUGGGGAAAGAAGGCUGCAUUAUAGACAUAAAAAAGACAUUCUCCAUCAGAGCAAAGCUCCAAUAUAUCUAUCCAAUGUCAAAUUAGAAGAAGCAUCAUAAACUAUUACAUGUAUUAUCCGGUAUGGUAUACUUGAACCAAGUCAUGGGUUAUGCUGCAUAUCAAAGUAAACAGAAUUUGACUAGACCAUUGCUUAGAAAUAGUGCUAAUUGCAAUAAAAUAAAUAUAUAAACACACAUAUAUCUUCAUGGAGAAAAAAUAAAUGAACUAACAAUCCAUCUUGCAGCUUUUGCAAUGCCAAUGCUGGUAAACGUGGUAACAAGCAAUUGAAGAAGUCUGAAUGAAGUUUACAUAUAUAGGAUAUAUCAUCAUCACCUGCAAAAACAAAAAUAAAAACAAAAGUCAGUUCCUACAAUUAAAACUUCCCCUUUAACUAAACAACAAAUUCGAAAUUUUGCAAAAACUCACCAUACAGGAUCUCAUUUUUGAUAGAGUCCUAGCACAAAACGAACAGUGAUGGAACUUCACUCAUCUCUACGCCUUUGACUAUUUAGAAAUUAUAGAGCUGAAAUACAAAGUAUGAAUGUAAGAAUUUGAGUUCAAAAUAAACAACAGAAGAUCAAACACAUACAUAACCGAAGAACAUAUAAACACAUUCAGAAUAUUUACAACAGCAACAAUUAAGCAAAUUUAAAGACCUUCAUUCUAUAGAUGAACUCUGAAAAUUGAAAGUACCCAGAACAAUUAACUCAUCUAGAGUUUUUAUCAGAAAUUCAUUUAACUUCUUUAGCAUAUCUCAUGUCUUUUACUGCAUUAGACUUAACAAACCAGUACAAAAGAACCAUUGUACCACAUUGAAACGCAAGCAUGGAUGAUCCAUUGGAAUAAGACAAAAAUACAAGUCCACUGAACAAAAUAUGCAAUAUAAAAGAAAGGAAAUCGCUGGAAAGAGUAACAUCUCAAGUUAGUCAGGAGAAUAGAGAAAUAGACAAACUGGAAAUUACGAGAUAUACACAUCCAUAGAACAAAACCACCUUUUUCUUCUGAAUAUCCUAGUCUCCCCUAUUUCUAAUAUCGUAUCAAGACCAGUGUAUGGUCUUAACCUCAACACUGGGCAGACUCAUUCUCUCUACAAACGUAUAAAAUCUUGAACUAGAACUCUCACUAAAUUCAUAAUCACCAAUAACCUCAAAUUAUUAAGGAAAACAAAAAACAUAGGCAUAAUUAGUACAUUUUCAACAGAGAAGGGCAAUUCUUGUGAUGGGCAAACAAAGAGGAAAAGAACAAAGAAGAAAUUACGGUUCCAAAUUGAGAAAAAGAAGAGAAAUUAACUAGAAGUUACAAUUUGUGAGAAAUAUAGAUAAGUUUUCUAUAACAAGCUAUUACAGAAAUUUACGGUAUAACAUACCAGCGACAAUUUGAGAGCUGAGAGUUUCAAUUUGAGAGAGGACAACUUCAAUUUCAGAGAAAAGAGUUUCAAUUUCGAGACCAGUGGCAAGGUAGCGACGAGGUAGCGGCGACGGCAAGGCAGGGAGACAAGGCGGCGACAAGAUAGACUAUUUGGGAUUUGGGGUUUUGGGUUAGGCUAGAGACAGAGCGAAAGAGCGAGAGAGCCACUGCCAGAGACUAAUUUGGGUAAUUAUUGUCGAGCAGUCGUGCAG
rnacentral:lncRNA from 1 species